rnacentral:rRNA from 1 species
GCGGAGGAAAAGAAACCAACAGGGAUUGCCUCAGUAACGGCGAGUGAAGCGGCAAAAGCUCAAAUUUUAAAGCUGGCAUCUUCGGUGUCCGCGUUGUAAUUUUGUGAGGCAUCUCCGGGUAGGGCGCCGGCCUAAGUUCCUUGGAACAGGACGUCACAGAGGGUGAGAAUCCCGUGCUUGGCUGGCUGUCCCCGUCCAUGUGAGGUGUCUUCGACGAGUCGAGUUGUUUGGGAAUGCAGCUCAAAAUGGGUGGUAAAUUUCAUCUAAAGCUAAAUAUUGGUGGGAGACCGAUAGCGCACAAGUAGAGUGAUCGAAAGAUGAAAAGCACUUUGAAAAUAGAGUUAAAAAGUACGUGAAAUUGUUGAAAGGGAAGCGCUUGAGAUCAGACUUCGGUAGGGGGUGAUCAGCCGUGCUUCUGGGCGGUGCACUUGCCCCUCUCCGGGCCAGCAUCGGUUGAGGCGGCGGGAUAAAGGUCCCGGGAAUGUGGCUCCUUCGCGGGAGUGUUAUAGCCCGGGUGAAUGCCGCCAGUCUCGACCGAGGACCGCACCCGCAAGGGUUAGGAUGCUUGGCAUAAUGGUCUUCAGCGACCCGUCU